UCGGAACGUGCCCUGGAGUGGGGAUAACGCAGCGAAAGUUGCGCUAAUACCGCAUACGAUCUAAGGAUGAAAGCGGGGGAUCGCAAGACCUCGUGCUCCUGGAGCGGCCGAUAUCUGAUUAGCUAGUUGGUGGGGUAAAGGCCUACCAAGGCAUCGAUCAGUAGCUGGUCUGAGAGGACGACCAGCCACACUGGAACUGAGACACGGUCCAG
rnacentral:rRNA from 1 species